rnacentral:tRNA from 1 species
GCCGGGAUGGUGGAAUCGGUAGACACACGGGACUUAAAAUCCCGAGGAUGGCAACAUCCGUGCGGGUUCGACUCCCGCUCCCGGCACCA